AGCUUCUUGAGUAUAAUAAGAGGUGUAUUCUGCCCGGUGAGGUUUUAACGGCCGCGGUAUUUUGACCGUGCUAAGGUAGCGUGAUAAUUUGCCUUUUAAUUGGAGGCUGGAAUGAAUGGAAUUAUUGGGGUUAAAUUUUUCUAAAUUAAAAAUUUGAAGUUGCAGUAUAAUUGAAAAUGAUUUAAUAUUUUUGUUAGACGAGAAGACCCUGUCGAUCUUUAUUUUCUUUAAAAUUUUUCUUUUUGGUGAAAUAAUUUGGUUUUAAAGAAAAGUUAAUUGGGGUGAUUAAGGAGUAUAAACUCUUCCUUAAUGUUUAUGGUUUUUUACCUUUUAAGUGAGCCGAUUAUUCAAUCGAUUAAUGGAUUAAGUUACCGCAGGGAUAACAGAGUUAUAUUUUUAGAGAGUUCUAAUCGAUAAAAAUGUUUGCUACCUCGAUGUUGGAUUAAUGAAACAAUAAGGUGUAGGUGCUUUAUUAGUGAGACUGUUCGUCUUUUUAUCCUUU
rnacentral:rRNA from 1 species